GAUUAAUCGAUUAUGAAAAUAGUUGACAACUAUUUUGAUCAUCGAUUAGUUUCAGCCCUAUGGGAUAGUAUUCUACUCAGAGAAUAAAGUUUGUGGCAGGUUUAUAUUCAGAAAGCGCAGUGUGUGGCAGUAUUAUAUUCAGAGGAUACAGUGCCUGGCAGCUUUAUAUUAAUUAUAAUUUUCAUAUAGAGGAUCAGAAUCCGCUGACAUAGUGAGGAACCAUCUGGAUUACGUUCUGCAGAGAGAAUAUUUUGCUGGAUGAACUCAUGGCGAUCCACUUCUGACUUUGGCUGAAAAACUGCAGUUUUCCCCAAAAAAAGGCAGAAAAAAAGACUCUGUGGAAACCUAGCCUUAUGAUGAUUAAUGUCUUCAUACAGAGGAUGAGGAUCUGCUGACAAAGUUAGGAACCAGUGGUGUCUAGGCAUGAAACGCUGCAGGAAAGAUGUAACUGAAAGAAGUCCUGUCAUCUGUACCAGCUGAAGAUGAACAAUAUAAAUACUACAGAGAAGACGUCACCUAUGAGUCACUAAUAUCAUUGUGUAUUCUGCCUAACAGUCCCAUCCCGGGCAUAGGGAUACAGCGUACAGUAUAGAGUUCCAGCACCGGCGGCCCGCAACAAACAGGAAGACGAGGAGGCCAGGGCUUGCGGGUGAUAUUAUUCAGAGCUGAGCCAUAUCCAGUAGAAAACCCACAGCCAAUCAAACAGACUCUAUCCAGUGGAGCAUCAUCAUGUAUUUUAGCAACUGCAAUAUCAUCCACUACAGUGUAUUCGGAAAAAGUGCCAGUACCAAGGAAGCUGUGAAUGCCUAUACCUUUGCAGAUCUGUGUAUGCAGUGGAUUGCAGAGGUUUUGGAGGAUUAUGGCGAUGACCAAAAAUUUUUUUUCUAAUAAAAUGGCUAACGAGGGCUGUGGCGGAGUGUUUUUAAAAUGAAAUAAUUUUGACAAUGUG